rnacentral:rRNA from 1 species
CGGGUAGAGUAACGCGUAGGUAACCUGCCUUGUAGCGGGGGAGUAACUAUUGGAAACGAUAGCUAAUACCGCAUAACAAUGGGUGACACAUGUCAUUUAUUUGAAAGGGGCAACUGCUCCACUACAAGAUGGACCUGCGUUGUAUUAGCUAGUAGGUGAGGUAACGGCUCACCUAGGCGACGAUACAUAGCCGACCUGAGAGGGUGAUCGGCCACACUGGGACUGAGACACGGCCCAGACUCCUACGGGAGGCAGCAUG